rnacentral:rRNA from 1 species
CCCGCACAAGCAGCGGAGCGUGUGGUUUAAUUCGAUGUUACACGAAGAACCUUACCAGGGUUUGACAUGCAAGUGGUAGGAAGCCGAAAGGUGACCGACCCUUCGGGGAGCUUGCACAGGUGCUGCAUGGCUGUCGUCAGCUCGUGUCGUGAGAUGUUCGGUUAAGUCCGCUAACGAGCGCAACCCUCGCUGUGUGUUAUAUGUGUCACACGGGACUGCCGGUCUUAAGCCGGAGGAAGGUGGGGAUGAUGUCAAGUCAGCAUGGCCUUUAUAUCCUGGGCUACACACACGCUACAAUGGCCAACACAAUAGGUUGCUAAGCCGCGAGGUGGCGCCAAUCCAUAAAGUUGGUCUCAGUUCAGAUUGUAGGCUGCAACCCGCCUGCAUGAAGAUGGAGUUGCUGGUAACCGCAGGUCAGCUAUACUGCGGUGAAUACGUUCCCGGGGCUU